rnacentral:lncRNA from 1 species
ACCAUUCUUCAACUAAUACAGAUGAAAGUAUUUAAAAUUGUCCAUUUGCAUUUCUUGGGCCAACCUAAUAUAAAAAAGAAAUUGGAGACCAAAUUAAAGCCGAAACAUGAAUCAGAAGUUUCGUUACUUUCGUACCCAGUUAAAAAGAAAAAGGGGCUACUCUGCUCUGCCUGCUCAGCUCACACGAUAAAUAAGGAACAAGGACCGACAACGAAGUUACCUCAUUGAUUUCAUGGCGAUCAAUUUCUUGGAUAAAACUCUUCUUCACCAGUUCCCGUUUGCCGCUACAAAUGGAAAGAAAAAGCAAAUUGAUUCCAAGGCCAAGUGGAGAAGUUAAAAUGGAAUACAAUUAGGAAUUCGUAGAGAAGAUAUUGAAUCUGGUGUUUACAAGGUACAAAGUUCUGAAUGAAGAUUGGUAAGAAUUUACAAGCUCUUAUUUUAUUUACGACGCAGGCUUCAAAGUGACCUUUUUCUUUUUUAGGAUUUUCAUAUGUUUACUUAAUCAGGAAAGGGUUGUGAUUAGGUGUUACAACUAACAAAUGACAAGUUCACAGUAUUAUCAAACUACUCCUAUUUUCUAAUUUUAUUUAGUAUAUUUCUCUGUCUUGCUCUAAGUGCCUCAAACAACAAGCUUCUGCUUGGUUUUAGAAAUAUAUCAUCGUGCUUUAAUUAUUGGUGUUGGGUUGACUGCCUUAAUAUUGAAUCUUGUAAUGGUGGCUUAACUGAGAUUACAUUAUUUUAUUUGUUUGAAAGCUGGUUCCAAGUUAAACAAUAUAGUAGUAGUAGUUUAUUUUGGGAGGAAGCCUGAUUAGUUAAUUAUGUGCCACUAGUUAUAAUAUUCUUCUUUCUCGAUGCCCCUCACAUGCCAAGAGUUAUUUAUUCUGAAAUCUGUAAGUAGUUGAUAGUUGUAUUCAAGUGUUAUGCUCAUCUAGUAACUUUCAAACUUCCCUUCCUUUGUCUUUUAGAUAUGAAACCCUAGAAAAAAAGUUCUCAAUGUAUGUAUGUUUCUGUGUCUGUUUAUAUAUCUACACAAAUAUUUUUAGUUAAAUCUUUAAAACAAUAAAAAGGAACGAAAGGUCCAGACAUAAAACACCAUGGUAUUAUCUAAUUCCGAUCUCCCAAAAACUUGCAUGAGACGGGAAGGUGGGAUAACAAAUUUGUAAAGCUGUUAAAAAAAAGGGAAUUUUUCCCAGGAAAGAUCUAAUAAAAGGAAGGUGGGAUAACAAAUUUAUAAAGCUGUUAAAAAAAGGGACUCUUUCCCAGGAAAGAUCUAAUAAAAAAAAUCCCCACCCAUUUUAAGCCUAUGGUUAUAUGGAAGAAAAAAAAAUGGAAUGAAAAAAAAGUAGGAUACACUCUAUACUUCUUUGACAUUUUUUUAUGAACACCUUUGGUUCCUUCCGGGACCUCCAUAAUAAAUAUAAUUUCCCCAAACAUUAUUUUUGCCUGCUCUAAUAUCAUAACAAUUCGGAUGGUCAGCCAAAAGAUGAAGGUCUGAUAGAGGAAGUAAGUUGUUAUCCCAGUCAACAACUUGCAUAUUUCUAAAGUAAGAAGCUUUCCCAAAUCCUUCAUAUGCAAAAUGACCACUUCCCAUUUGUGUUGAUGUGUGUAAUCCUGAUUUAGAGUUGACAAUUUCUCCUCCAAAUUGUAGCAUGCUUGCGGGAUUCCUUAGAUGAUUAAACAAAUAUGAUGGCCAAUACCCGAUGAGUAGCCCCGAUCCAAAUUGAAGCCACCAAUGUCCAUGCUUAGGAUCCUAGAAAAAACAAAAUAUUUGUGGUUUAUUAAACUCUUUUUCUCCAAAAUAUUUGAUAUGCAUGUUGUAUUUAAAUAGUAAUUAAGAUACACUAUAUAUGAUGUAGAACGGGGUAUAUAGAAUAAAUAAGAAUACCUAUCUCCGUAGAGAAUCAGUUAAAAAACACAUACAAAAGCACACAAUUUUAAUCUCAAAUCAAUAUAUUCAAUAAUCUCCUAAUGAAAAGUUACCACUAUAAUAUCCUACUAAAGAAUUUCAUUAAUACCUCAACAUUUAUCUCUAAAUAACAAUACAAAAUUAAUAAUAUUUUUUUUGAAUUUCUUCUUCCCUUCCGCAUCAUUCUCCUCGCCUUAGAAAAAAACUCGUCCUCAAGUUUUUAAAUAUCCUAGAAUAAUAAUCCACAGUCCGAGAGAUGUCUUCGAACAAAACAUUCGCAUUCGAUGUUUUAAUGUCAUGAGCACAAUUUUCGCUAAUAACAAUGACAUAAUAUAGAAAUUUGAAGUAGCUGACCUCAACUUUAUUUUCUUUGAUAUUUUCGCAUUGGGGAUCAAAUUUAACUUGAAUUUUCCCACUGCAAACCAUCUCUGAAAGUUGUUCAACACAUUUAACUUCCGCUUCAUGUUUCUCACAAGCAUCAAUAUGUGUGAGUACUUGCUCUUCUUUAUCAUCACCAAUUUCAUAUUGGUUAUUAUACGUUUAACUAUUGUGAGACAUUCAUCAAUUAUCUUGUAAGAAUUUACUUUGUAGGUUUCCUCUUGUGAACGCGUCCCUUUAGUUAACAAACACGAUUAGGAUGAACAUUUUUUUUGUACUUGAACAAAAUAUGGAUGAACAAAGCAUACGGUUAUGUACUCGUAAUGUACUUUUAAAUUUGCAAGGGUUGUUUCAGAAAGUGAAACCGCAUUGCAUAAUUUCCAAUACUCAGCACUACAUGGGACACAAGACCUUUUUAGUUGCUCGUAUAUGAUCAAAGUUCGAUGCUCAAGUUGUUUUAUCUUAGCCCAAAGAAAGUCUAGAUUGUUAAACAUCAAAGACAUCGUAUUUAUGUAAAAGGGUUUAAUUAAAAAAAUUAGAAACAUUGGGGGUUAAAUUGAAAAAAUUCAAAAACUUUGGGGACUAAAUUGAAUAUUUCCGAAAUUUUAGGGGCUGAAUUGAAAGUUUUAGAAACUUUGGGACUGAAUUGAAAAUUUCAGAAACUUGGGGGUUCCAAAUUGUAAUUUGUCAGAACACCAGAAAUUUGAUGAACAAUGUCGCACACUGUAGUGAUGACCAGUACCGCUGAAUCUUUUUUUUUUUUUGGAAUAGAUUGAGACUAAACGAUUCUUGCUGCAGAUCGUGCUUUCGUCUCGAAAAAUUGUUGUCGAUUCUCUGGCGAACUUCGACAAUUUGAUGGAGGCUAGAAAAAUAGGGUAGGAAGGAAUUGAGUGAAAUCAAACGAUAUCAGAUAUCAGGAAUUUUGACUCUUGAUACCAUUAUGAUGUAGGACAAGGUGGGAAGAAGGAAUUAGAAUACCUAUCUCCGCAAAAAAUCAGUAAAAAAACACAUACAAAAGCGCACAACUUUAAUUUCAAAUCAAUAUAUUCAAUAAUCUCCUAAUGAAAAGAUACUAUUAUAAUAUCCUACUAAAUAAUUUCAUUAAUAACUCAACAUUUAUCUCUAAAUAACAAUACAAAAUUAAUAAUAAAAUUUUUGAUUUUCUUCUUCCGUUCUUCAUCAGUAUAAGAAUAUAAUUGAAGUUACAGAGAAACAAAAAAAUACUAUAAGAUUAUUUACGCAAGGAUAUGCUGAUUAUCCCAGCGAGGAAGUACAUUUACACAAUCCGGAAAGUCUGUUGGUGUGAACCUAUUAAGGGAAUAUGAUAAUAGAAGAACAGAGAAAAGAAAUGUUGAUGCGUUGGAGACACCUUUUUCAAGGGAAACAAGAGAAUCUUGCAUUUUGAUACUAAGACCAGUUGCAAAAAAGUUGUAAAAUAAAUAUUUGGUCAAAAUUUAUAGAAUAAUUGCACAUGUAACUGUCAACUUGAUGCAGUUAGGGCUAAUUACAAGGAAAUUGAAGAUAGUUAAACAAAAUAAUGCUGAUUGUGAGGAUUUUGUCAAAAUGUGCAAACUUGCAAAACUAAGACUACCUUAAAUGUUCAAUGCAACAGAUAGAACAUUCUCUCUCUUUUUUUUGGUGGGUGAUAGAACAUUCUUUAUUAGAUUUGUCUAAAAAUGUUUUUUUUAAAUAAGUAGAUUUGUUUAAAAAAAGUUGCCUCAUCUUUUAAAUGGACUUAACCCUGAAAUUACCUUCCAGAUCAUUAUGCCAAUAUCAAAUUGUCUGCUGUUGUAAGAUGACCUUGGAGAGAUUGCUGCUCCAAUAGCAAUCCUAUUGUUAGUUUGAACAAACCCUGAGCAUAGUAAGUUGUAACAUCCUGUGGCUUGGUAUGCGUCGGUCUGUGCAUUAACAGUGAUUAACAUUUGCACUGAAAUUCUUUAAAAAAUUACAUUUACGAAUAUGGAUAAUUCAUAUGAGAUGCAGAGCACUUUUAGAUGAUACUUACUGUCCAAUAAGUGAAGAAUCUAGGGUAGCUAUCUCCAUAUAACUCUUGGCUAACCUGAAAAACAGUUUGUUUAAGUACCCAUAGCGUCGGAUGUUAUCAUAGAUUAAUUAUUUUUCAGAAUAAAAUCAGUAUCUUGGGUAAGGAGGAAACAUUAUAAGUUAUACCUGCCAACCAGCUUCAAUGGUAUUAAGAUCAUUGCCGAAGGAGCCAGAGAUGACCCAUACUUGUGAGAGACUGAAUUCGUAUUGAUCUGUUACUCGAGGUGCCCAUACAUUUAUGUUGGCUUUUGCUCCGUAAUACUGAUCUCCAUUGACAAAAGCAACUGCAUGCUGUAGUCCAGAGGAUUGUUAUUUAGUUGCUAUCCAUAAUAAGCAUAUGCAUAUAUAGGCACGCCUGGACUUUCUUCUAGAUUUAAACACAGUAGAGUUUCAUAAUCCUUUUAUAAGUUAUAGUUCUUUGAUUUAGGCCUCUAAGACAUGAUGUCAGUAGGAUACAAAGUGCAUUAUUUUUGUUAAAACUGUGCAUUCUUUAUCUGUCGAUCCCAUUUUUUACCUGUACUAAAAAACAUAUGAAAGUGAGUUUGGCAUUCUGGGAAUGGCCUUCUAGUAUAGUUUGUAUAGAGUAUAUAAAACCGUGAGACAUAUUAUUUUGGCCAAAAUAGGUGAUAACUUCUUGAAUAAUUGGGAUUGGAUUAAAAGAGGAAGGAAAUUUGGAAGAUUUGAGAAAGCAUUUCUUUCUGCAGAAUGGUGCAGUUUUGUACCAUCUUCUCGUUUUGUUGUUCUUUUUCAAUUCAAUGCCUAUCCCAUAACUAGAAGGAAAACUGGAAACCUGCUAAUGUGUCUGUUUUCUCUUAUAUUCAGGUAUUGUUCACUAACCUCAUGAUCACUACUCAUUGAGUCACGCCUUCGAAUUUUCCUUCCGAAUUUCUGGAUUGAACUGGCUCUUAAAACAUCUUUCUUUGUAGUUCUUCUAAUUGGAAUAGUACCUUCUGGGCACGAUUC